rnacentral:rRNA from 1 species
AUACGGAGGAUGCGAGCGUUAUCCGGAUUUAUUGGGUUUAAAGGGUGCGUAGGCUGUGCGUUAAGUCAGGGGUGAAAUGCCGUCGCUCAACGACGGAGCUGCCCUUGAUACUGGCGUGCUGGAGUACGGAUGCCGUUGGAGGAAUGAGUGGUGUAGCGGUGAAAUGCUUAGAUAUCACUCAGAACACCGAUUGCGAAGGCAUCUGACGAAUCCGUCACUGACGCUGAGGCACGAAAGCGUGGGGAUAGAACAGGAUUAGAUACCCUGGUAUUCCACGCCGUAAACGAUGAUGACUAACCGUCGGCGAUAGACAGCCGGUGGCCAAGCGAAAGCGAUAAGUCAUCCACCUGGGGAGUAUGUCGGCAACGAUGAAACUCAAAGGAAUUGACGGGG